AAAGUUUCUAAAAGCUGUCUUUGGUUAAUCGGAGACAGAAAGUUAGUCGUCGCGUCGACCUCGGUAUACCAUGCAUCAAGUGAAACCACAAUUUUAAUGAUUUUAGCUGUUUAAACUAUUUUCCAUUUGAUUUGUCUUUAAAUAUGGGUGAAAAAAAUAAUUUUUUUUAGAAUCUGUCAUAUUGCGACCUUCAAAUAUCAUGUCAAAAGUAUAGAAUUAUCCUUUUGCUAAUCACAACUUAAAAUAUAGAAUAAUACAUGUUAUUCAAGUGUAACAAAAAAAAAAAAAAAAAAAACAAAAACAAUUAAUAAACUGCAAACAUCCUGUUUGGAAUAGAUUCAUAGAAUCCAACCAUUUAGAUAUUAAACAUUUAGUUUAAAUGAAACAGCUUUCCAUGCCGUUUCAAAUAUUUGUCCCAUAACCAGAGUCAUGACUUCAAUAUUCUAUUCUUGUUUUGAUUUUUCCAAUUUUUGUGUGCAAUUGAAAGCCCAGAAGCCUUCCAAGACUUUGUUAGCUUGUUCCGUUUCCAUAACCCCUUUUAAUGUUAUAUUUAAGACAAAAGUCGAAAAUCAUGUAAACUUUAAUCAGCAAUUAAAAAUUGAGUGUCUAGCGUGUCUUUUCCAAAUGAUGAACUUACACAUAUUCAAACUUAAAAAUUUUCACAAAAGGAAUCGGGUUUGGUGCCAAAAAUUUUACUGCGGAAGUUUGCGACGAUUUCCAAGAGCCAUUGCGAAGAAUGCUGGAUGCUCUACAAUAACAGGGACAUAAUAAAACGUAUGAAAUUUAAAGUCAAGGACUACAACUUACCCAAUCUUGUCAAAAGAAGCAAUUAUGGCUCUUUUGUAUGGAGUUCCUAAUUCAUAAUCCCUCUGGUCUUUUUUUCAAUAACUAUGUCUGUAGUGCUGAUACGGAUCUACCAUCUAAUAUAUAAAGGAGUCUCCUACAUUAAAUAAAGAUUCGAGAUCUUCUUCACUUAUA